rnacentral:pre_miRNA from 1 species
CAAGUGUUACAGGUUGGGAAGUGAACAGUGGAAACAUCCACUGUUCACUUCCUAACCUGUAACACUUGA